GCAAAUUUAUAUUUAUGCAUGUUUGUGCAGGGUGGACAGUGUUCUGAAGCAGAUGGCAGAAAUCCGAGACCACGACCGAAGGCUGCGUCUACUUGAGACGCAGCUGGAUUACUGCUGCAGCGCCCUCUCCUGGAUGACUGAAGCUAUGCGUCAAAGUAAUGUGGUCACAACUAAUCGGCCUCCUCCACUCCACAAAGAUGUUACCCAGCUGUCUUCAACCUGAACUUCAUGGUCACAUGCUAAUGCAGAAUUACUUUUGUAUCAUGGGCAUUUUAAUUCUGUGGACCACUGCUGAACACAACAAUCUCUUGAUUAACCCUAGCUCCUGUUCUGGCUAAACAUAACUAUCUGCUUAAACACUAAUCAUGGGGCUUUUUUUGCAACCCAAAGUCAUGGAUCAGUGAAUGUUUACUUUGUCAAAGACAGAGCACUCAGGACAUUUAUGUUGCAAAAUCUAUAGUUUCCUAUCCUGUCAUGUUUUUUUGCAUGAUGUAUCUAUAUUUUCUAUAUAUAGUCUAUAUUUUCUGCUGCUUAAUGGAAAGGCCAGCAUGCAAUCUAACUCUUUUACUUUUUUUAAUUUGUUUUCAGAGCUAAAUUAUGCACUGGUCUUUGGUCAUUGAAGAGCAGCUAUAACUAGUUAUGCUACCAAAGAUUGCCAUGUAAAAAUGAAUUUAAAUAUUCAUGGUCAUAUGAAAUAAAAAGGGACCAUCUCUGG